rnacentral:rRNA from 1 species
UGUAAACGAUGUCGAUUUGGAGUUUGUUGCCUAGAGUGAUGGGCUCCGAAGCUAACGCGAUAAAUCGACCGCCUGGGGAGUACGGCCGCAAGGUUAAAACUCAAAUGAAUUGACGGGGGCCCGCACAAGCGGUGGAGCAUGUGGUUUAAUUCGAUGCAACGCGAAGAACCUUACCUGGUCUUGACAUCCAUAGAAUUCUGCAGAGAUGUGGGAGUGCCUUCGGGAACUAUGAGACAGGUGCCGCAUGGCUGUCGUCAGCUCGUGUUGUGAAAUGUUGGGUUAAGUCCCGCAACGAGCGCAACCCUUAUUCUUUGUUGCCAGCGAUUUGGUCGGGAACUCAAAGGAGACUGCCGUUGAUAAAGCGGAGGAAGGUGGGGACGACGUCAAGUCAUCAUGGCCCUUACGACCAGGGCUACACACGUGCUACAAUGGCGUAUACAAAGGGAAGCGAAGGUGCGAGCUGGAGCGGAUCUCAUAAAGUACGUCUAAGUUCGGAUUGGAGUCUGCAACUCGACUCCAUGAAGUCGGAAUCGCUAGUAAUCGUAGAUCAGAAUGCUACGGUGAAUACGUUCCCGGGCCUUGUACACACCGCCCGUCACACCAUGGGAGUGGGUUGCACCAGAAGUAGAUAGCUUAACCGCGAGGGGGGCGUUUACCACGGUGUGAUUCAUGACUGGGGUGAAGUCGUAACAAGGUAACCA